UUGGAGGGCAAGUCUGGUGCCAGCAGCCGCGGUAAUUCCAGCUCCAAUAGCGUAUAUUAAAGUUGUUGCAGUUAAAAAGCUCGUAGUUGAAUUUCGGGGUCAGUAGAUCGGUCAUGCCACUGGUAUGUACUGGUCUCACUGAUUCCUCCUUCCUGAUGAGCCGUAAUGCCAUUAAUUUGGUGUUGCGAGGAAUCUGGACUGUUACUUUGAAAAAAUUAGAGUGUUUAAAGCAGGCUAACGCUUGAAUACAUUAGCAUGGAAUAAUGAAAUAGGACGUUCGAUCUUAUUUUGUUGGUUUCUAAGAUUGACGUAAUGAUUAAUAGGGAUAGUUGGGGGCAUUAGUAUUCAAUUGUCAGAGGUGAAAUUCUUGGAUUUAUUGAAGACUAACUACUGCGAAAGCAUUUGCCAAGGAUGUUUUCAUUAAUCAAGAACGAAAGUUAGGGGAUCGAAGACGAUCAGAUACCGUCGUAGUCUUAACCAUAAACUAUGCCGACUAGGGAUCGGAUGAUGUUAAUUUUUUAAUGACUCAUUCGGCGCCUUACGGGAAAC
rnacentral:rRNA from 3 species